CUAUGCGCCUUGCCAGCCCGCUCAGGUGUGCCAGCCGCCGCGGUAAUACGGAGGAUGCGAGCGUUAUCCGGAUUUAUUGGGUUUAAAGGGUGCGUAGGCGGGAUGCCAAGUCAGCGGUAAAAAUGCGGUGCUCAACGCCGUCGAGCCGUUGAAACUGGCGUUCUUGAGUGGGCGGGAAGUAUGCGGAAUGCGUGGUGUAGCGGUGAAAUGCAUAGAUAUCACGCAGAACUCCGAUUGCGAAGGCAGCAUACCGGCGCCCGACUGACGCUGAGGCACGAAAGCGUGGGGAUCGAACAGG
rnacentral:rRNA from 1 species